ACAAAGUUUGUUGAUAAAUUGGAUCCAAUGUUUCUAAAUUUUUCAUUUUUCAUAAUCACCGGUGCUUCAAUUUGGUUAAUUUUCAGGCUAGAACUGCGGUGAGGAAGAAUUCGGAAGGUUAAAACCGAUUCCCCAGAAAAUCACCAGUCUUCACACCUCAUAGACCCUCGGUCGAGAUGGAAGGGAAUCAACAGUGAAUUAAGGGUAAGUUUUAUGUAUCGUCCAAUCUUUUGAACAGAUACUAAUCAAGGUUUUGUGUUUGUUUUUUUUUUCCUCUCUUUUCAGGUUUCGAGUCAGCGCCGGAACGGACACGAUGAUAUUCAUCAGCGAAGUUGGACUGGUUCACCCUCGUAAACCUGAGAGAAAUAUU